UACGAAGGGGGCUAGCGUUGCUCGGAAUCACUGGGCGUAAAGCGCACGUAGGCGGGUUGUUAAGUCGGGGGUGAAAUCCUGGAGCUCAACUCCAGAACUGCCUUUGAUACUGAAGAUCUUGAGUUCGGGAGAGGUGAGUGGAGCUGCGAGUGUAGAGGUGAAAUUCGUAGAUAUUCGCAAGAACACCAGUGGCGAAGGCGGCUCACUGGCCCGAUACUGACGCUGAGGCACGAAAGCGUGGGGAGCAAACAGG
rnacentral:rRNA from 1 species